rfam:Pelodiscus sinensis unplaced genomic scaffold scaffold2920, whole genome shotgun sequence.
GCCUGGCUAGUUCAGUUGGUAGCGCAUGAGACUCUUAAUCUCAGGGUCAUGGGUUCAAGUCCCAUGCUGGGCG